rnacentral:rRNA from 1 species
UACGGGGGGGGCAAGCGUUGUUCGGAAUUACUGGGCGUAAAGGGUUCGUAGGUGGCCCGCUAAGUCACACGUGAAAUCCCUCGGCUUAACCGGGGAACUGCGUCUGAUACUGGAUGGCUUGAGUUCGGGAGAGGGAUGCGGAAUUCCAGGUGUAGCGGUGAAAUGCGUAGAUAUCUGGAGGAACACCGGUGGCGAAGGCGGCAUCCUGGACCGACACUGACACUGAGGAGCGAAAGCCAGGGGAGCAAACGGG